rnacentral:rRNA from 1 species
UCGAGAAUCUUCGGCAAUGGGCGCAAGCCUGACCGAGCGACGCCGCGUGGGGGACGAAGGCCUUCGGGUUGUAAACCCCUGUCGAGGGGGAGGAAGGGCGCGUGGAGAACGCGCCUUGACCGAUCCCUGGAGGAAGCACGGGCUAAGUUCGUGCCAGCAGCCGCGGUAAGACGAACCGUGCGAACGUUAUUCGGAAUCACUGGGCUUAAAGCGCGUGUAGGCGGGCCGGCACGUCGGCCGCUGAAAUCCCCCGGCUCAACCGGGGAAGCGGCGCCGAUACGACCGGCCUGGAGGGGGAGAGGGGGGCCUGGAACUCCCGGUGGAGCGGUGAAAUGCGUUGAGAUCGGGAGGAACGCCCGCGGCGAAAGCGAGGCCCUGGAUCCUUUCUGACGCUGAGACGCGAAAGCCAGGGGAGCGAACGG